UGUCUCAAAGAUUAAGCCAUGCAUGUCUAAGUUUAAAUAAUUUUACUGUGAAACUGCGAAUGGCUCAUUAUAUAAGUUAUCGUUUAUUUGAUAGUACCUUACUACAUGGAUAACCGUGGUAAUUCUAGAGCUAAUACAUGCUAAAAACCUCGACUUCGGAAGAGGUGUGUUUAUUAGAUUAAAAACCAAUGCCCUUCGGGGCUCACUGGCGAUUCAUAAUAACCUCUCGAAUCGCAUGGCCUUGCGCCGGCGAUGGUUCAUUCAAAUUUCUUCCCUAUCAACUUUCGAUGCUAGAGUAGUGUUCUAGCAUGGUUACAACGGGUAACGGAGGGUUAGGGCUCGACCCCGGAGAAGGAGCCUGAGAAACGGCUACUACAUCCAAGGAAGGCAGCAGGCGCGCAAAUUACCCAAUCCCGACACGGGGAGGUAGUGACGAUAAAUACUGAUACAGGGCUCUUUUGGGUCUUGUAAUUGGAAUGAGUACAAUUUAAAUCCCUUAACGAGGAACAAUUGGAGGGCAAGUCUGGUGCCAGCAGCCGCGGUAAUUCCAGCUCCAAUAGCGUAUAUUAAAGUUGUUGUGGUUAAAAAGCUCGUAGUAGAACCUUGGGCCUGGCUGGCCGGUCCGCCUCACCGCGUGCACUGGUCCGGCCGGGCCUUUCCCUCUGUGGAACCGCAUGCCCUUCACUGGGUGUGCCGGGGAAACAGGACUUUUACUUUGAAAAAAUUAGAGUGCUCCAGGCAGGCCUUUGCUCGAAUACAUUAGCAUGGAAUAAUAGAAUAGGACGUGUGGUUCUAUUUUGUUGGUUUCUAGGACCGCCGUAAUGAUUAAUAGGGACAGUCGGGGGCAUCAGUAUUCAAUUGUCAGAGGUGAAAUUCUUGGAUUUAUUGAAGACUAACUACUGCGAAAGCAUUUGCCAAGGAUGUUUUCAUUUAUCAGGAACGAAAGUUAGGGGAUCGAAGACGAUCAGAUACCGUCGUAGUCUUAACCAUAAACUAUGCCGACUAGGGAUCGGACGAUGUUAUUUUUUGACUCGUUCGGCACCUUACGAGAAAUCAAAGUGCUUGGGCUCCAGGGGGAGUAUGGUCGCAAGGCUGAAACUUAA
rnacentral:rRNA from 3 species